AGCGUGCGCAGGCGGUUAUAUAAGACAGAUGUGAAAUACCCCGGGCCUCAACCUGGGAACUGCAUUUGUGACUGUAUAGCUGGAGUGCGGCAGAGGGGGAUGGAAUUCCGCGUGUAGCAGUGAAAUGCGUAGAUAUGCGGAGGAACACCGAUGGCGAAGGCAAUCCCCUGGGCCUGCACUGACGCUCAUGCACGAAAGCGUGGGGAGCAAACAGGAUUAGAUACCCCUGU
rnacentral:rRNA from 1 species